rnacentral:rRNA from 1 species
GACGAACGCUGGCGGCGUGCUUAACACAUGCAAGUCGAACGGAAAGGCCCUGCUUGUGUGGGGUGCUCGAGUGGCGAACGGGUGAGUAACACGUGAGUAACCUGCCCUUGACUUUGGGAUAACUUCAGGAAACUGGUGCUAAUACCUGAUAGGAGCUCCUGCUGCAUGGUGGGGGUUGGAAAGUUUCGGCGGUUGGGGAUUGACGCGGGGCUUAUCAGCUUGUUGGUUGGGUAGUGGCUUACCAAGGCUUUGGCGGGUAGCCGGCCUGAGAGGGUGACCGGCCACAUUGGGACUGAGAUACGGCGCAGACGCCUACGGGAGGCAGCAGUGGGGAAUAUUGCACAAUGGGCGGAAGCCUGAUGAAGCAACGCCGCGUGCGGGAUGACGGCCUUCGGGUUGGAAACCGCUUUCGCCUGUGACGAAGCGUGAGUGACGGUAAUGGGUAAAGAAGCACCGGCUAACUACGUG